UUUUGUUCUGCUGUCAGAGAUGAACAAUAAUAUGGUCAUUUGGCUUUGCCUGCUGGGAUAAAAAUAUUAAUAGCCAGAUUUUAAUGCGAUUUUUUGUGGUUGAUAUAUUGUGUGUGUUCCAGCCAUUUCCGACCUGUUUUUUUAGACGAUGCCUCAAGGACUCUUCUGCUCAUUGGCUCAGCUAAAACCUACUGCAGUAUAGAGAAAACACACGCUGCUGUAAAGCUACAUUUUGGUUUACCGCAGUUACCUGAUAUUGUACAGUACACAUUCCUGAUGAUUCACAGCCUCUCCGGGCCUCUUCUGUUUUAUUUGCACUUUCAGGAGCUGCUUUUUUUUUCUUGGCAAAUAUAGACAUCCUUUUUUUUGUCUGUCUGUCAACACCAGAUCUGUUGCAACUUCAAUAUUCUCAGUGUCAAAUUUGUGUGAGACAAAUAUCUAAUAAUAGCCGGUCUAUUAGAUAGAUGGCUCAUGCCAGAGUUUAGACACAGAGAGCUGUUUCAUGCUGCUCCGCUGUUAGGAAGCCUUCAAUACUGAGCUGAUGAAAUACAAUACAAUUAGGACUCACACUGAUAAACAAUAGAUGGCGUGCAAUAUAUUGACACUGUAUUGCAUUUUUGCAUGCCUGUUAUCUGUUCUCGUUGGAGGGGUGUUUAACCGCGGUGUGACCUUCAAAUGACACAGUGAGGGUAAAAACGCAAAGUCAGCAGAAGAUAAUUACAUUCCCCCUCGGUGCUGUUAAAGUCUAUUUAAAGGCCGUUCUGAAAUUAGCUCUGUUUCUGUGAUUAGAGUUGAAAUAUGAAGACAAUGUUUUUAUCAUUCAUGCUAAUUUUAAUUUUACACACACACAGCACUCAAAUAUUUCCUAAAUUAAAUUUGCUAAUGGCUCCUUGCUCCUUGUGUACAAGGCCAUUAAAUGCGUGGUACACCCUACAAAUCAUGCAUCUAUGAGACGGUAACACGGCAGACAAUAAUGUGGCAGAGUAGAUUAUUAUAUUAUUAAUACGAAGGGGACAUUUCCCCUAUCGUUUGAAAGGAGAAUAUCACCCACACAGCUUUGUACCCGCAGCCGAGGCGAGGCUGCCUUUAUGCAUAAUUCAUAUUUCCAUAUCGUCAUGGUGAUCAUGUGAGAUGAGUGUUUGCUCUCGCAGCAGGGAAGCUGGUUGGUGUGUGUGUGUGUGUGUGUGUGUGUGUGUGGAGGGAGGAAGGGAGGGGGGCAAGGUGUCAUGAGGGACAGAAAACACUGAAUGAGGGAAGGCGAAAGGAAAGAAGAGGGAAACUGUGACAGCAUUGGAUUGUAAGCGUUAGCCAGUGGCCCAGUCUUUGUCUUUUGCCUGUCAAAAAAUGGAGGCAGAGGCUUCACCCUCUGAAGGCCUCCAUCGUACAGACAGCUGUUUAACCUGCUAGCAACUGCCUCAGCCAGGUGUAAAUACUCAGCGAACUCCUCGUGCUGCCAGGGCGGAAAAUGAAACGGCCUCUCCAGCUGGAAGAACAAGUGUUGUGUGGGCUCCCUGAAGUGGUGCAGCACUGGGUCAUUGGAGAGCCACAGCGUGUUUGGGAACACAACAGUCUGUGUUUUUUUUUCAGCACAGCUUGUUGGAUGAAGGGCCAUUUCACAGGCAUUAUGGAUUAAUCUUUGGCAGGAUCCCUCCAGGAUCAAGCAAAACUGGGCGUUUAACCUCACGUGUCACGACAGAGAGUUCUCUGGUGAUAAACCAGGACAGAGAGGAUUGAACGUGACCCGCAUUUCUCUGUAGAUUCAUUACUUGAGUCCUUCUUAAAAAUAAAAUAUGGGUACACAUCCUUCUUCAGGUAAGUGGUACCCAUGGGUGAAUAAAUAAAUAAACUGCCUUAAUCUGAAGUGGAAAACCACCACACAUUACUGUGUUAUAUCUCCCUGCUGAUCACCCGGUGUCCUGUUCAGGUACCAGAAAGUGAGCGUUUGAACUGCGCUGCUGUGUCUGUCACUCCACCUUGCUGUCACCUGCACACAAUCACAGAUUCACAGCUGACACGUCCCACCGCUGCUUAUAAACUGUUCGUUAUGCUCAGCUCAAUAUUGAAAUGCUUUCAAGUUCAUUUUGACAGGAGGUGUGAUUGACAGGUGUAAAUUGAACAGUCUGGGUGCAAACAGAAAGACUGCUUAUAUGUAUUCCUGCAGCUGUACAUGUGUGAACUGUUUAAUUAAAUAAACGAAUGGAUGUGA